GAACACACCCUAACGCCUCCGUCAUUCAGUGUCUCUGAGGUACUGCGUCUUCUCUCUCUCGGAUUAUCCUCUGCUUCUUCCCUCCAUUGGACCGGUACAGAACCAGGAUUUACACAGGUGGAUUUAGUUCUGUUUAUCCGGACAAUGUGUCUCAGGGACCCGAAUCACAGUGAGCCGCCUUGCAACGGAACCGGUACCGUAAGUGCUGGGUCAGGGGCAAGCAGGAGAGUGAGCUUUGGAGUUCCAUGGACAACAAAUGAGGCACAAAGAAGGUCCAGCCAAUGGCAGCCGGGAUCCCAAGACAAUCAGUCGAUGCAGAACUCUUCUAAGCUUCUGUACUCUUUACCACCUCAAAACAACGGACCAACCUGAAUAAUGACAUCCCCAUUCCAUGAUGGCUGUGGGCAACUCUUCGACCUGGAAACUUUUGUCUUCCUUGAGAAAGAUGGGCUCCUUCAAGAAACUAAAGUCAUCUGUUCUGCAGGGAAGAUGCUAAUAAUAUAAGUGAUAAUGAGACGGAUGCUUAGAAGUAUAAGCCCAGCAGAGUUCCUUUAUCAAAGUCCACGCAGGAUGGAUAUAAUUUAGCCAGAGGGUCACAGUCUGAUGGAUCAGAUGCCGAGGAAACAGAUAAUGCCUUCUGCCGCGCCUAUAGAUCUGCCCGUAUUAAUGAGCUAAGUCUCAAUGCGGUGAGGGAAGAGAAACAAGAAGAGGUAUCGGGAAUUUCGGGAAAUCUGCAGAAAUCAGAAGGAGCUGUAGAAUGUCUGCAUUUUCGAGUCACCUGACAAUAAACACAGCAUUACUACCUAAUACUAAAUGGGAUUCAGCUGGAGGGUGCAAUCAAGAGACUUUUGGACUGAUAAAGUUUUUUAAAAACUUUAACUGUGGGACCCCUUAAAUACACAGACCAAGGGACAUGACAUCAUCGCUCAGAGGAAGCCAGUCGGCGAAACGCGUCAGCGGUGGAGAGAGACGCCAAAGGGAGAACGCGAACGGAGAGAUUUGCAAGCCAGGAUCAAAG